CCCCCACCCCCGACACUGGAAGAUCGCCAGCACAUCUCCCAGCCCAGAGUCUCAAUCGCAAGGCCACCGAGGUCGGUGCAACCCUCCGGCUAGGGACUUGAGGCGGAAGGUGGCCCUCCCGGAGUUUCUAUUUUCCAUGCCUGGCAGCUGGUGUCGCUGCUCACCAACUCAUCAAGCUUGUCAUUCCAGCCUCUUGGCGGCCCUGUCUUUUCACCAAUAAAAACGGGGUCAAAUUUCUGCCCAGGCUAGCCUCCGGGGGAGAUAAAUGAGUAAAGGAAUAUGGAAGUAAUUAAGUAUGUAAUGCACACAAGGAAAAAUCUAGCAUUUGGGAGUACGACAUUUGUAGCACAGCAUGCGACAUGUUGAAUAACUCGAUCCUCUGAGCCUAACAGCCAUCACCUUCACCGGAGCAGCUGGGUUUCUUGCAAGAGAACCCGGAGGUAGAGCUUGUUGACUGGCGGCGGCCUUCCCUCACAUAAGGAGAGGUUGGGGAGAGUGGUUGGACCCUUGCAUUAGAUUCUGGCUGUUCCCUCCUGCACCUCCCAGUCAUUUGUCCUAACUGCUUGCAGCCUCACCAUCUUCUGAGAUGCUACAGUGUGCAGACUGUGGAAGGUUAAUUGAAGCCAGUUGGAUUGAUGGGGCGACCUUCAUAUGUGCAGCUAAGGGGAAGUGAGAUUAUUUUUUCCAGUAGCGCAGUUGCUUUGGGAGUCACCCACACUCCUGUAAGUAACCCCUCGCCCAUGCUCUGUGAGUAAGCCAAAUCAACUGUGGUUCUCCAGCUGGAUUUUGGCAAGUGUAGUCUUCACACCGCUGCAAGGAAACUGCUCUUUUCGACGGAUGAAGACCAUUACAGAAAACCACAGCCAAUUAAAAUACAGAGGGCUCAGGGUAGGAGAUGACAUGGAGGUGGGGCAUGCACCCGACAGACAGAUGGGACAGGCAUCAGCUCUGAAGACACCUGACUCACGCGUGCCGCUUGGCCUCCUGCUGGUCUGCAACCUACCAGACAUCGCUUCAUCUUGCAUGCUGUCUGCUGGCGUCUCCCCCAAGGACCCUGCUUAGCUGAAGGAGUCUGAUGAUCUAGUCUUUCAAAACCUCUGGAACCCUGACACUAGCUCGACUGAGGCACGGACAUGACAACACAGAUGUGACUUCAGGGGGCAGCACAUGAUGUCUACUUUGCUGGGUUAAAGACGAGACAUCAACUUGGGAUCUGCUGUGUAGUUUUCUCCCAGAGGCAGGAAGAGGAUCUGAGGCUGGGGGUUACUGCCACAUGAGAACGGCACUGGCACCAUAGUCAGCCUUGCUCCCUAGCUUUUGUGCCCUAAGAGCAUCUAUGAUUUCUCUUUUUCUU